GACGAACGCUGGCGGCGUGCCUAACACAUGCAAGUCGAGCGAAAAGACCCGGCGCUUGCUCCUUUGUCGUUAGCCGCGGACGGGUGAGUCACACGUGUAUAAUCCCCCUAACAGACUGGGAUCACCUCGGGAAACCGGCUCUAAUACCGUAUAAUAUAUUGCACCGUAUGGUUCAUUAGUGAAAGACGGUGUUUGUGUCAGUAAUAGAUGGUUCCGCGCUGGUUGAGAUGGUUGGUAAGGUAAUGGCUUACCAAGGGGACGAUGCGUAGGCGAACUAAGAGAGUGAUCGCCCACACGGGAACUGAAACGCGGUCCAGGCGCCUACGGGACGCCGCAGAAGGGUAUGGUCCGCAGUAGGCGAAAGCAUGACGGAGCAACGCCACGUGAGAGAUGAAGGUCUCCGGAGCGUAAAGCUCUGUUAUUAGGGAAGAACAAAUGUGUAAGUAACUGUAGACGGCUUGACGGUACCGAAUCAGAAAGCCACGGCUAACUACGUG
rnacentral:rRNA from 1 species